GAAAAGUUUGAUUCUAGCUUAUAGAUUAAUAUAUUAAAUUAAAUACAUAUAUUGGGGGGUAGUAUUUAAAAUUAUAUAACUUUAGGUAUAAAAUUUUAUAGAUGACAAGAUUAAUUUGUGCCAGCAUCUGCGGUUACACAAAUUGUUAGUUUAAUUUCUUUUUAUUAUUAAAAAAUAUAUUUUUUUUAAUUAUUUAUUUAAUUUAUUUUAAUUAAGUGAAAUUAUUAAUUUAUUUAUUUUAAUAAAAAUUUUAUUUUUAAAAAGAUUAAUUAAUAGACUAGGAUUAGAUACCCUAUUAUUUGAUUUAAUUAACUAAAAUUUAAAGUAUUAAUUUUAAUAUUGAAACUUAAAGAAUUUGGCGGUGAUUUAUUCUUUUUAGAGGAAUCUGCUCAUUAAUCGAUAGUCCACGGUUUCCUUACUUUUUUUGACUUUAUAUAUCGUUGUUUUAAAAAUUAAUUAGUUAAUUAAUUUAAAUAAUUUUAUUGAUUUAAUAACAAAUCAAGGUAUAGGAUAUAAAAAAGUUGAAGUGGGUUACAUUAUUUUAAUAAAAUGGUUUUUUGUAUAAAUAAUACUUAAAUAAAAUGGAUUUAUUAGUAAUUUUAUUAUCAUGUUUUUUUGAAAUAAGUUCUAAAUCAUGUACAUAUCGCCCGUCACUCUCUUUAUGAAAAGAGAAAAGUCGUAACAAAGUAGAUUUUUUGGAAAAAGAAUCUAGAAGCGA
rnacentral:ncRNA from 1 species